rnacentral:rRNA from 1 species
UACGAAGGGGGCUAGCGUUGCUCGGAAUCACUGGGCGUAAAGCGCACGUAGGCGGAUCUUUAAGUCAGGGGUGAAAUCCCGGAGCUCAACUCCGGAACUGCCUUUGAUACUGGAGAUCUUGAGUCCGGGAGAGGUGAGUGGAACUGCGAGUGUAGAGGUGAAAUUCGUAGAUAUUCGCAAGAACACCAGUGGCGAAGGCGGCUGACUGGUCCGGUUCUGACGCUGAGGCGCGAAAGCGUGGGGAGCAAACAGG